rnacentral:rRNA from 1 species
AUGCUAGUAGAUGACGAGGACCGGUGGCUCCUAGCGCGGGAGGCGCGCAUGGUCCAUGCGCUAGUUCCGCGCAAGCCGCUUCAAUUCUUCAUGGCCGCCCGGAGGGAUGGAUGGCUGCCGACGACCCCGGCUAGAUCUGCCCAGGAUUGCGGCGGCUGCGCGCUCCUCAUGGCCGCCUCCUCGAGCCUGGUGGGGAGGAGGGAACGAUCCUGGGCGGCGACUUGCGGCGUGGUAUGCGGUGGCUUCGAUGGGUAG